rfam:Aedes aegypti strain Liverpool supercont1.921 genomic scaffold, whole genome shotgun sequence.
UGCCCAGCAAUUCCUAUCCCUACCUCCUAGCGGUACUGGCCUGGGUUCGAGUAACCUUAGGGAAGA